CGGAGUAAUGCGUGACCAACCUGCCCCAUGCUCCAGAAUAGCUCUUGGAAACGGGUGGUAAUGCUGGAUGCUCCAACUUGACGCAUGUCUUGUUGGGAAAGUGUUUAGUGGCAUGGGAUGGGGUCGCGUCCUAUCAGCUUGUAGGCGGGGUAAUGGCCCACCUAGGCUUCGACGGGUAGCCGGCCUGAGAGGGCGGACGGCCACAUUGGGACUGAGAUACGGCCCAGACUCCUACGAGAGGCAGCAGCA
rnacentral:rRNA from 1 species